UAAGGGGCGCACACUCAGCCUCGAGCAACCCAGGCAGCCGGAAGUCUUGCCGUAAAGCGUGCUCGGACCAUCGUACUAGCGCCGGUUCCCUUGGAGACAGGCAACGCGCUCAAGAUGGCGGCGCCGGCGGAGGCGGAGGUGGCCGCGGCCCCGGGCUUAACCGAGGCGGCUGAAGCCGCGGAACUGACCCGCGCGCUAAGCCGCCUGCUACCGGGGCUGGAGACGGAAAGUAAGCUGGGGCGGCGGCGCGCUCUGGAGGCUCUGGAGCAGGUACUGGAAGAGGCGGUGCGGCCCGGCGCGGAUUCCGCGGCCUUCCAGGGCCCCUGGGCCCGUCUGCUGCUGCCGCGCCUGCUGCGGCUUCUAAGCGAUCCGGCCGAGGGCUGCCGCGCGCUGGCCGCUCACCUGCUCGACCUUGGCCUGCGCCGCGCCGCGCGGCCCCGCGACGCUCUGCCGCGUCUGCUGCCGGCGCUCAGCGCACGCCUGGCCCGACCUGAACUCGCGCGGCCGCCGCCGGAGCCCUGCGAGGAGCUGCGUCUCGCCCUCGUGCAGCUGCUCCACCUCGCCGUAGACCUGGGCGGCGCCGCGCUCGCGCCCCACCUGGACGACGCCGUGCGCGCCUUGCGGGCCGCGCUGCUCGACCCCUUCGCUGCGGUGCGCCGGGAGGGCUGCGAGUGCGCAGCCGCUCUGGCCCGUGCCACUCCGGAGCACUUCCACAUGCAAUCGGAGUCCUUGAUAGGCCCCCUGAUGCAGACCAUCUCCCACCAGCACUGGAAGGUCCGGGUAGCCGUUAUCGAAGCCACGGGCACUGUGAUCCAGUUUGGCAGUGGGAACUCGGUGGAUGAUGUCCUUUCCCACUUUGCUCAAAGACUCUUCGAUGACGUCCCUCAGGUCCGGCAGGCAGUGACCUCGGUGGUCGGGGGAUGGCUGCUGAAUCUCCGGGACCGCUACUCCUUCCUACACAAGCUCACCCCACUGCUGCUCAGCAGCUUCAGUGAUGAAAUGCCUGAGAUCCGGCAGACAGCCACCAGCCUAUGGGAGAAGGUCGGGCUGCAGUGGCAGCAGGAGAACGAGGCAGAUCUAAAGGACAAGCUGGACUUCGCUUCACCUCCUCCUCCCAACUACCCUGAGCACGAGAGCCGCCCUGGCCUGGGCUGCCGAGAGCUGGUCUUCAGGAACCUCUCCAAGGUGCUUCCUGCCAUCUGUCAUGAUAUCACCGACUGGGUGGUGGGGACGCGGGUGAAGGCAGCACAGCUGCUGCCGGUGCUGCUGCUGCACGCAGAGGACCACAUCACCCAGCACCUGGAGAUCGUCCUCAGAACCCUGCAUCAGGCCUGCACCGAUGAAGAGAAGGCUGUGGUCGGCAGUUGCAUAAGAGCCGCAGAGCUCAUUGGCACCUUUGUCAGCCCAGAAGUAUUUCUGAAACUGAUCUUAGCCAUGCUGAAGAAAGCACCCUCUGCCUCUGGCCUCUUGAUCCUCGCUUCUGUCAUCCGGGGCUGCCCCCGGAAUGCCCUCCAGCCACACGUCACAGUCAUAGCCACAGAGCUGGCCCAGGAGCACAUCUGCCAGGGGUCUGAGAAUAAUCUCUACCUGGAGCAUCUGCUGCUGUGUGUGCAGGCCCUGCUGUCUGUAUGUCAGGAAGACUGUCGAGCUGCCAGCCUGCAGUUCCUGGAGGUGCUGGUGACAAUAAUGGCAGUCUCAGAUGCCGUGGGUCUUGAGAAGAAGGCCCAGAAGACCAUGGACACACUGGCUGAGGUGGAGGAUAUCCCCAGCAGUCAGGACCUCUACCGCAAGCAUGUGGGUGCACUCCUGGAGCGGCUGACAGCCUCGCAUGGCGAGUGGGCAGUGCACUCUGUGCAGUUGCUGAAGUUCACUGUGCUCCUCACCCAGGCAGGCCCGGCUGUGGGAGAAGCGCUGCAGCAUGUGAUCCCCACCCUCAGGGCCUGUCUCCAGCCCUCCACAGACCCACACAUGCGCCUGAAGCUCUUCUCUAUCCUGUCCAUGAUGCUGCUGAGGCCUAAGGACACUGUCGAUUCUCAGGGACAGUUCCGUGGCUAUUUGGAUAUGGUAAUAAAUGACAUCCUAGCCCCCAACCUGCAGUGGCAUGCAGGGAGGACAGCUGCAGCCAUCCGGACGGCUGCUAUAUCCUGCCUGUGGGCACUCAUCAGCAGUGACAUCUUAUCGGCCAAGCAGGUGUGCUUCGCAGCAUUCAAGCUGCAUUGCCUGGCAUUGAGCACUGGUGUGCUGACAGCAUGGGUGGUCCCACGUUCCUCACACCCAUUUGUGGCCUGCAGGUGCAAGAGGCACAAGAGACCCUGAUGCCACAAGUGCUGGCUACGCUGGAGGACGACUCCCAGACCACACGCCUGAUGUCCUGCCGCAUCAUCAACAUGUUCCUCAAGAAUUCAGGGGACACCAUGGAGCCAGAGAAAUUCCUCAAGGUCUAUCCUGAGCUCUUGAAGCGCCUAGAUGAUGUCUCCAAUGAUGUGAGGAUGGCAGCUGCUUCUGCCUUGCUCACCUGGCUCAAGUGCAUCGAGAGCUUGGAUGGGAAGUCCGCCUAUCAGAGCAGCGUUCAGUUCCUGUACCGGGAGCUGCUGGUCCACCUGGAUGACCCAGAGAGUGCCAUUCAAGACACCGUCCUAGAAGUCCUCAAGGAGGGCAGCGUCCUGUUCCCAGAUGUGCUGGUGCGGGAGACGGAGGCUGUCGUCCACAAACACCGCUCAGCUACCUACUGCGAGCAGCUGCUGCAGCACAUGCAGACCAUGGCCGCUGCUCGGUGACUGUGUGCAUCAGCUACUGAAGGCAGACAGUGGUGGCCUGCAGACCUCGCACUUGAGACACUGUGUCCAUGGCCUCGGGCCAUCCUUGGGCCCCCAGAUGGUGCUUGAACAUCAGCUUCUGUGUUUCCUAAGCAGAUUUCUGGGGUUUUGUAACACACAUACACACACACACACACACACACACACACACACACACACACACACACACGCCAGCUUCCCAAUUAGCUGCUUGAACAUAAUGUUUUUAAAUUACAAGCCCCAGGGGUCCUGGGCUGCUUUCAGAUUCACCAUAAUGCUCUUCACAUUGCAGGAAAGCCAAAGGAUUAUAAAACAACCAACCAUCCACUUCCUCUGGGCUCUGUCCCAUCAUCCUGUGCUGAGGACAGUGUCCAGUCUUGACUCACUGAUAAAGUUUCUCCCAACUAUUCUGGGUUUUGACACAGGGUUUCCCUGUGAGGCUUUGACUAUUCUGGAACUCUCAGAGAUCCACCAGCCUCUUCCUCCCCACACUGAGAUUAAAGACCCGCACCACUACCACCCUGCUCCUCCCGAUUUUAAAUACACUGGAAUGUCUUGCAGUGUGGGUGCACUGUCCUGGUGUUUCUGUUUCUCAGUAUUAGUGAUGCCCGUGGGUAAAGGAUAGACUAGGAAACCAGCCUUCAUCCCUACCACUUGCUGUAGCAGUCAGUAAGGUGGCCAUUCUCCAGUGUCUUUUCCACCAAGUGCCUAAAGAUUUCUAAGUGGUUCUUAGCCGCAGCCUAUAUUUUUGUUAAGACAAUGUUGGGGGGGGGGGGGGUCGUGUCCAACAAAUUUUAACAUUUCUGCUUUGCCAUUUAUGGAAUUAAAUUAUUUAUUAUAGUUA